GUGGNGAUAUUGGACAAUGGGGGAACCCUGNUCCAGCAAUGCCGCGUGUGUGAAGAAGGCCUUCGGGUUGUAAAGCACUUUCAAUAGGGAGGAAAAGCUAUGCGUUAAUAGCGUAUAGCCCUGACGUUACCUAUAGAAGAAGCACCGGCUAACUCCGUGCCAGCAGCCGCGGUAAUACUGGAGGGUGCAAGCGUUAAUCGGAAUUACNUGGGCGUAAAGCGCGCGUAGGCGGUUUGUUAAGUCAGAUGUGAAAUCCCCGGGCUCAACCUGGGAAUGGCAUUUGAGACUGGCAGGCUAGAAUGUGGUAGAGGUGAGUGGAAUUUCAGGUGUAGCCGGUGAAAUGCGUAGAGAUCUGAAGGAACAUCAGUGGCGAAGGCGACUCACUGGGCCAUUAUUGACGCUGAGGUGCGAAAGCGUGGGUAGCAAACAGGAUUAGAUACCCUGGUAGUNCACGCCCUAAACGAUGUNAACUAGGUGUAUGGAGAAUUAUNNCUUUGUGUAUNGAAGCUAACGCGAUAAGUUGACCGUCUGGGGAGUUCGGUUNUNAAGACUAAAACUNAANUGAAUUGNCGGUUGNNUNUACAAGUNGUNGGANUUNUGCGGUNUAANU
rnacentral:rRNA from 1 species